rnacentral:rRNA from 1 species
UACGAAGGGGCUAGCGUUGGUCGGAAUUACUGGGCGUAAAGCGCACGUAGGCGGAUAUUUCAGUCAGGGGUGAAAUCCCAGGGCUCAACCCUGGAACUGCCUUUGAUACUGUCGAUCUGGAGUAUGGAAGAGGUGAGUGGAAUUCCGAGUGUAGAGGUGAAAUUCGUAGAUAUUCGGAGGAACACCAGUGGCGAAGGCGGCUCACUGGUCCAUUACUGACGCUGAGGUGCGAAAGCGUGGGGAGCAAACAGG